UUCCAACAAAGUAAAAGAUCAGGUUAGCGAGCAUGAUGGUCUGGUCCCAAUGAUUGCUCGCGCUCACCCGUUCGUAUAGUUGAAGCCAAUUUUCAA
rnacentral:lncRNA from 1 species